UACGUAGGGUGCAAGCGUUAAUCGGAAUUACUGGGCGUAAAGCGUGCGCAGGCGGUUUUGUAAGUCUGACGUGAAGUCCCCGGGCUCAACCUGGGAAUUGCGUUGGAGACUGCAAGGCUAGAAUCUGGCAGAGGGGGGUAGAAUUCCACGUGUAGCAGUGAAAUGCGUAGAGAUGUGGAGGAACACCGAUGGCGAAGGCAGCCCCCUGGGUCAAGAUUGACGCUCAUGCACGAAAGCGUGGGGAGCAAACAGG
rnacentral:rRNA from 1 species